UACUAGAGUAGCACUCGCAUAUCAAUAAGCGGAGGAAAAGAAACUAACAAGGAUUCCCCUAGUAACGGCGAGUGAAGCGGGAAGAGCUCAAAUUUGAAAUCUUAAAGGGUUUCCCUUUACGAAUUGUAGUUUAAAGAAGUGUUUUCUGUUGAGGUUUUGGUAAAAGUUCUUUGGAAUAGGACAUCAUAGAGGGUGAGAAUCCCGUAUUUGACCUUUACUUUCAACUUUGUGAUACACUUUCAAAGAGUCGGAUUGUUUGGGAAUGCAGUCCAAAAUGGGUGGUAAAUUUCAUCUAAAGCUAAAUAUUGGCGAGAGACCGAUAGCGAACAAGUACCGUGAGGGAAGAUGAAAGGAACUUUGAAAAGAGAGUUAAACAGUACGUGAAAUUGUCAAAAGGGAAGCGUUUGACACCAGUGUUGUUUUUCUGAAAAUCAAUUAAAGAACUGUUUAUGCUAAGUUGUUUAGACUUUAUCAGCUAACUGUUUAGUUUUGAGCUUUUCUUUAAUGCACUUUUCAGUUAACAAGUCAACAUCAAUUUCUUUUGCUGUAAAAAAGCUUGAGGAAGGUGGCUUGAGAUUCGUCUUAAGUGUUUAUAGCCUCUUGCCUAUGCAGUCGGAGAGAUUGAGGUCUGCAGCGUAGAUCCUUCGGGGCUAAAUGCAUUUGUGCUAAGUUAUAGCAUUUUAUAGACAACUUGUUGACUAUGAUUUGUCUUGUAGCUUACUCGCUUAUGUUAUUUUACCUACGCUUAGGAUGUUGAUAUCGCGCUCUCACUG
rnacentral:rRNA from 1 species